rnacentral:rRNA from 1 species
GACGAACGCUGGCAGCGUGCUUAACACAUGCAAGUCGAACGGAAAGGCCCUGCUUUUGUGGGGUGCUCGAGUGGCGAACGGGUGAGUAACACGUGAGUAACCUGCCCUUGACUUUGGGAUAACUUCAGGAAACUGGGGCUAAUACCGGAUAGGAGCUCCUGCUGCAUGGUGGGGGUUGGAAAGUUUCGGCGGUUGGGGAUGGACUCGCGGCUUAUCAGCUUGUUGGUGGGGUAGUGGCUUACCAAGGCUUUGACGGGUAGCCGGCCUGAGAGGGUGACCGGCCACAUUGGGACUGAGAUACGGCCCAGACUCCUACGGGAGGCAGCAGCGGGGAAUAUUGCACAAUGGGCGGAAGCCUGAUGCAGCAACGCCGCGUGCGGGAUGACGGCCUUCGGGUUGUAAACCGCUUUCGCCUGUGACGAAGCGUGAGUGACGGUAAUGGGUAAAGAAGCACCGGCUAACUACGUG